GUUUUCAAAAAAUCAUACAACUAGUAAAGCUCUAAUCUCAAAUGUCUGCCCGCGCACAAGGAGGGCCUGUGUUCUCUCGACAGGGAAGAAGGUACGACUCAUUUCCUUGAUGGUCAAGGUGUGAGGAGGGAAAAGCUAUAAAGGGUUAGAGAAGGGCUGCAGAAACACACCUUCGGGAAACCACAAGUACCACUUUUAUGUAUUUAUCUGUCCAGGAAAGAACUAGAAACAAAAGUUUGUCUGUGAACUUUCAAAUGAAAGAUGUAUUUCACAAGUCUCUGCUGAAAGUGUUCACAGAUUAUACAUGCUCAGCCUGACUUUUAAAUGCCACUGAACAAAGGUUGGGGAGUGGGUAAUAAUUAACUACAGUCUAUUAAGGCUGAUGGAUACAGUGCUGGUACUUCAGAUUUCCCAACGAGAACCUCUGUAGGUACUUGUAGGUAUACAAUCUUGUGGUCUGUUUUGAAUUUCAAAGGUAAAAGUUGAAAUGUUGGCAAUCUUGUGUAUCCAACGUGGCACAAUUUGCAGUGACUCUUCCUAAACCAGCUCAGAACACCCUUAGGAGGCGGCCAGUUGGGAUCUGCAAUAUUCACUGGAGGUUUGAGCAGGAUGCUCAACACCCGUCCAGUGAGGCCCCCACAAAAAUAUUAUCUUUUAACUCAGAGGGCCCCAGUACGAGUUUAACAGUCUAUGACUCACAACUUCAAAAUAACAUCGAAAUUCAAUUCAGAGUUAAAGACUGUAUGACGAUGCCCCGGAUUUUAAGAAGACAGUUCUGUUGGCCAUAUUUUUAUGUUCAUUGCUAUAUAGUCCAUAAAAUUUGUGUCACAACUUCUUCUUUUCUUGAAUUUUUAUAAUUUAUAUACCCCAAUUUUACUAAAGACUACUAUAUUGUUUUUGUUUUUCAACCUUUAUUUUAGGUUCAGGGGUACAUGUGCAGGUUUGAUAUACAGGUUAAUUUGUGUCAUGGGGGUGUGUUGAACAGAUUAUUUCAUUACCCAGGCAUUAAGCCUAGUACCCAACAGUGUUUUUUGUUUGUUUUAAGCAGAGUCUCGCUCUGUUGCACAGGCUGGAGUGCAGUGGCAUGAUCUCAGCCCACUGCAGCCUCUGCCUCCUGGGUUUAAGCAAUUCUCAUGUCUCAGCCUCCAGAGUAGCUGGAAUUACAAGCAUGCACACCCAUGCCUGGCUAAUUUUUAUACUUUUAGUAGAGACGGGGUUUUGCCAUUUUGGCCAGGCUGGUCUUGAACUCCUCACCUCAAGUGAUCCACCCGCCUUGGCCUCUCAAAAUGCUGGGGUCACAGGUGUGAGCCACUGCACCUGGCCCCAAUAGUUAUUUUUUCUGCUCCUCUCCCUCCUCCAACCCUCCACCCUAAAGUGUUUGUUGCUCCCUUGUGUUCAUGGAUUCUCAGAAUUUAGCUUCCAUUUAUAAGUGAAAACAUGCAGUAUUUGGUUUUCUCUUCCUGCAUUAGUUUGCUAAGAAUAAUAGCCUUCAGCUCCAUCCAUGUUCCCACAAGACAUGAUCUCACUCCUUUUUAAGGUUGCAUAGUAUCCCAUGAUGUAUGUGUACCACAUUCUCUUUUUGCAAUCCGUCAUUGACAGACAUUUAGGUUGAUCCCAUGUCUUUACUAUUGUGAAUAGUGCUGCAAUGAACAUUUGCAGGCAUGUGUCUUUAUGGUAAAAUGAUUUAUAUUCCUUUGGGUAUAUGUAUACCCAGUAAUGGGACUGCUGGGUCAAAUGAUAGUUGUUUUUAGCUCUUAGAGGAGUCACCACACUACUUUCCACAAUGGCUGAACCUAAUUUACACUCCCACUAACAGUGUAUAAAUGUUCUCCUUUCUCCACAACCUCACCAGCAUCUGUUAUUUUUUUCGUUUUUUAGUAAUAGCUAUUCUAACUGGUGUGAGAUAUUACCUCACUGUGGUUUUGAUUUGCAUUUCUCUAAUGAUCAGUGAUACCGACCUUUUUUUCAUAGGCUUUUUGGCCACAUACAUGUCUUCUUUUGUAAAAGGACUAGUAUAUCUUGGCCGGGUGUGGU
rnacentral:lncRNA from 10 species